GGUGGCUCAGAGGUAGAGUGCUUGCCUUAAAUGCCUGAGGCCCUGGGUUCAAUUCCCCAGCACCA
rnacentral:tRNA from 1 species